UAGCCACGGUAAUACCCGCUCCCCCGAGUGGUAGGGACUAUUACUGGGCCUAAAGCGUCCGUAGCCGGCUCGGCGUGCUCCGCGUUAAAAUCCAGCAGCCUAACUGCUGGGCCGCGCGGAUGACUGCCGGGCUUGGGGGUGGGAGAGGCCACUGGUAGUCCCGGGGUAGGAGUGAAAUCCACUGAUCCCGGGAGGACCUGCAGUGGCGAAGGC
rnacentral:rRNA from 1 species